CCUACGGGAGGCAGCAGUGAGGAAUAUUGGGCAAUGGGCGCUAGCCUGACCCAGCCACGCAGCGUGAAGGAUGACUGCCCUAUGGGUUUUAAACUUCUUUUAUAUGGGAAUAAAAUGCAGUAUGUAUACUGCUUUGCAUGUACCUUAUGUAUAAGGAUCGGCUAGCUCCGUGCCAGCAGCCGCGGUAAUACGGAGGAUCCGAGCGUUAUCCGGAUUUAUUGGGUGUAAAGGGAGCGUAGAUGGGUUGUUAAGUCAGUUGUGAAGGUUUGGGGCUCAACCGGAAAAUUGCAAUUGAUACUGGCAGUCUUGAGUACAGGUGAGGUAGGCGGAAUUCGUGGUGUAGCGGUGAAAUGCGUAGAUAUCACGAAGAACUCCGAUUGCGAAGGCAGUUUACUAAACUGCAACUGACAUUGAUGCUCGAAAGUGUGGGGAGCAAACAGGAUUAGAUACCCUUGUAGUC
rnacentral:rRNA from 1 species